GACUCCAUAGUAUAGUGGUUAGUCCGUCUGCUUUACAUGCAGAAGGUCCUGGGUCCGAGCCCCAGGUGGAGCCA
rfam:Pteropus alecto contig27346, whole genome shotgun sequence.